rnacentral:rRNA from 2 species
GAUGAACGCUAGCGGCAGGCCUAACACAUGCAAGUCGAGGGGCAGCGGGGAUAAGCUUGCUUAUCCGCCGGCGACCGGCGCACGGGUGCGCAACGCGUAUAGAAUCUGCCUUGUACUGGGGAAUAGCCCAGAGAAAUUUGGAUUAAUGCCCCAUGGUAUGUAGGAGCGGCAUCGCUUCUACAUUAAAGGCUACGGUACAAGAUGACUAUGCGUCCCAUUAGUUAGUUGGCGAGGUAACGGCUCACCAAGACGGCGAUGGGUAGGGGCCCUGAGAGGGGGAUCCCCCACACUGGUACUGAGACACGGACCAGACUCCUACGGGAGGCAGCAGUGAGGAAUAUUGGACUAAUGGGCGAGAGCCUGAUCCAGCCAUGCCGCGUGCAAGGAAAGACGGUCCUAUGGAUUGUAAAACUGCUUUUAUACGGGAAGAACAAAGGGCACGUGUGCCCCUCUGACGGUACCGUAAGAAUAAGGAUCGGCUAACUCCGUGCCAGCAGCCGCGGUAAUACGGAGGAUCCAAGCGUUAUCCGGAAUCAUUGGGUUUAAAGGGUCCGUAGGCGGGCCAUUAAGUCAGGGGUGAAAGUCUGCAGCUCAACUGUAGAAUUGCCCUUGAUACUGGUGGUCUUGAGUUAUAGUGAAGUAACUAGAAUAUGUAGUGUAGCGGUGAAAUGCAUAGAUAUUACAUAGAAUACCGAUUGCGAAGGCAGGUUACUAACUAUAUACUGACGCUGAUGGACGAAAGCGUGGGGAGCGAACAGGAUUAGAUACCCUGGUAGUCCACGCCGUAAACGAUGGAUACUAGCUGUCCGGAUGCAAAUCUGGGCGGCCAAGCGGAAAGUGAUAAGUAUCCCACUGGGAGAUCCCAAGGUGAUACGCGAGGAACCUUACCAGGGCUUAAAUGUGGUCUGACAGCUUUAGAGAUAGAGUUUCCUUCGGGCAGAUCACAAGGUGCUGCAUGGUUGUCGUCAGCUCGUGCCGUGAGGUGUCAGGUUAAGUCCUAUAACGAGCGCAACCCCUGCCGUUAGUUGCCAGCAUGUAAUGAUGGGGACUCUAACGGGACUGCCGGUGCAAACCGCGAGGAAGGUGGGGAUGACGUCAAAUCAUCACGGCCCUUACGUCCUGGGCCACACACGUGCUACAAUGGCCGGUACAGAGAGCAGCCACUGGGCAACCAGGAGCGAAUCUACAAAACCGGUCACAGUUCGGAUCGGGGUCUGCAACUCGACCCCGUGAAGCUGGAAUCGCUAGUAAUCGGAUAUCAGCCAUGAUCCGGUGAAUACGUUCCCGGGCCUUGUACACACCGCCCGUCAAGCCAUGGAAGCCGGGAGUGCCUGAAGUCCGUCACCGCAAGGAGCGGCCUAGGGCAAGAUCGGUAACUAGGGCU